GCCAGCACAAGUACUCAAAUUAGGACAUGAGAGAAGAUUAGCAUAGACCCUAUGCAAGGAUGACAUGCAAAUUCAUGAAGCAUUCUAUUAUUGU
ensembl:snRNA U6 U6 spliceosomal RNA